GAAGACAAAACUGAGUAAAAUUUGGGGACUUGGAGUCUGGUCAACUAUGAACUUUCGGCUCCUUGAUGACCUUUAAUUGGGGGAAUCCGCUUCCAAUUUCUCUCUAAUCGCUACCAGACAAUCGCUACCAGCCGUCGCAACCUCAAAUCUCCACUGGCCACUGACGAGGGUUACGUUUCUUUUUCCUCCUUUGAGAAAAGUCAUAAAAGGCGUUCGAUUCGAGCUCCACUGUUGCAAAAGUUGUACAUGAGGUAAAUUUCGGGGCUGUCCCUUGUGAGAGAGUUCCUCGAGUGUAUCGUAGCUCAAAAUUCUCGGAUCCUGUAUCUUGACAAUGGAGGAUUUCAAAUCCAACUCCUAUGUGGAUGGAAGAAUGCAGAUUGAGAACUACUAUGGAAACGAAUCAAGAGGAGGACCGAACGGUUCCGGCGGAAUGGGUAUGCAAGAUUUUCGUUGUUACAGUGCUUCGUAUGCUUCGUCUGCGAAUCCAACUCAGAUGGGGAAUGAUUUGAAGCUCAAGAAAGGGAAAUCGACGAAUGGAUUCUCGUCGAAGAGCUGGAGUUUCAACGAUCCGGAGAUGCAGAGAAAGAGGAGGGUUGCUAGCUACAAGGUUUAUACUGUGGAAGGCAAAGUCAAAGGGUCUUUUAGAAAGAGCUUCAGGUGGCUCAAGGAAAGAUGCUCUCGAAUGGUCUUUGGAUGGUAACGAUCGGCUUAAAUUGGCACCUUGACUAAUCUAACGUCAUAUAGCAUGGCCCAACAACAUUAGACGUAGAAAACUUAUAAUCACCAGAUUGCUCUGGAAUAGGUUACGCUGGAGACAAGAGAAUGGAAGGCACCUUGACUAAUCUAACGUCAUAGUAGCAUGAUCCAACAACAUUAGAGGUAGAAAACUUAUAGGACAUUUAGAUUUCUUUAUGAUCUCUUUAAUUUGUCUCUUUUGCUGUUUACGUGAGAAUUUUAUUUUCGUACGAAAUUAAGAAUCUUAUCUUUAUUUCGAGAAUAUAUCUACGAGAUCACUGA